rnacentral:lncRNA from 10 species
AUGAAUGGAGGGCGGCGGCGACUGCUGCAGCUGGGCCAGCUGCGCGGGCUGCACCCCCUCCCAGCCUGCGAGAGGAGGAAGCUAGUAGAAGAUUUGUACCAACAAAACCAAGGAGUAAACAACUUGAGAAUAACUGCAUGAGCUCAGGGCUUGGACUGUCAGAUUCCAUUUCUAAGCUUCCAGAAGAGCGACACAUAGACACUGGGGAAGUCAGAGCCUUUGAACUCCAAUGCCAUCCCCGUCACCCACCUCCACCACCAGCACCACCACCGAAUGGCACUUUGGACAAUUUUUCCCUCUCAUGUGACUUUUGUCAUUUCUUACGUCAGUUGGAGCCAGCACCUCUCAAAUCCAUCUUCUAAAACCCAGAAAAUUGUGUGUAACACAUGAUGACUGAAAGGGAGUAGGCUGACCAGUUAAGAGCCUGCCACUGGAAUGGAAGGCUGUGGGAAGGUGAGGGGACGGUGGACAUCAACCGGGAAGAGCUGAAAGAUGGCGUUACCAGGUAUCUACCCUGCUACCCUGCAUAGAAUUCCCAAGACC